AUUCGGGUAUCGCCCGUACAACGUUCGUUUAGCGUUCGUACAACGUUCGGUCGUCGUCCGUACAUCAUUCGUUAAGCGUAUGGUAUAUGGUAUCGUUUAGCGUAUGGUAUAUGGUAUCGUACGUUUAGCGUAUGUUAUAUGGUAUCGUUUAGCGUAUGGUAUAUGGUAUCGUUUAGCGUAUGGUAUAUGGUAUCCUAAGCGUAUGGUCAUUAUCGUUUAGCGUAUGGUAUAUGGUAUCGUUUAGCGUAUGGUAUGUGGUAUCGUUCAGCGUAUGGCAUACUUGUCGUUUUAUUAGCGCAUGGUUUAUGGUAUCGUUUAGCGUAUAUGGUGUAGCGUUUCGUUUAAGGUACUUUGUGGUAAUUGGUUGUAUUAGUAAAACCAAAUAUACCGCUCUUCAUUGUGAAGAUUCGUUGUCAAACAAAAUGAGGCUUUCACUGAACGUAAGACAUCAAAUUCUUCAUUACAAAGCUCAAGGUUUAUCCUGUCUUAACAUUAAAUGUGCUCUUGAGAAAUGUCAUGGUGUGAAAACAAGCCGGGUGUCAGUUUGGAAGUUUAUAAAGAAAUUUACGGAAACUGGAAGCAUCCAUGACAAAAGUCGAAAGGUAGAUAACCGAUUGAAAAUAAGACCAGUGCACAGACGUUUAAUAGACUUUUGGUUGAAAGAAAAUAGUGAAAUGAACUCGACAGCUAUUCGUCAAAAACUGUUGUAUCAUUUUAAAAUUAACAUUUCAAAAAGUUACGUGUGUCAAAUAAGACGUUCACUUGGAUGGAGAACUCAGAGAUGCAAAUAUUGCCAACUUAUCAGUCAUGUUAACCGACGAAAACGGGUGGACUACGCACUGUGGGCUCUAAGAACUAGAGAAACUUUUCUAAAUGUGAUCUUCGUUGACGAGUCAUCAGUAGAAAUGAGUGCUGAUGGGAAACUAUAUUUCUACAAACCAACAUAUGGCAUGCAAUACAUUGAAGCCAGAAGACAGAAACCAAAACAUGCAUAUAAGGUCCAUGUUUGGGCUGGAAUCAGCUAUAGAGGACGUACACACAUUUGUAUAUUUAAUGGUAUUAUGGAUUCUGUAAUUUAACAGCAUAUUUUAAAAGACAAUUUUCUUCCAUUUGUUAAUAGUGUAUUUCCAGAUGGAUAUAGAUUAUAUCAGGAUAAUGACAGCAAACAUUGCAGUAAAUCAACUAAGGCAUGGAUGACUGAUAAUCAUAUGAUUGACAAUGUUAUGAAGACACCAGCUUCUUCGCCAGAUUUAAACCCAAUAGAGAAUGUGUGGUCUUCUAUGAAGCAAUACCUUCAGAAUGUAGCUAAGCCAAGAAAACGUGAUGAACUUGUCAAUGGAAUAGUGGACUUUUGGGAAGGACUCAGUGCUAAUCAGUGUGGAAAAUAUAUUGACCAUAUACAUAGAGUUAUACCUCAUGUCAUCCUAAAUGAAGGCGGACCUACAAUGUUUUAAAUGAUAUUUGAAAGAGAGGCUGCUGAUGUGCUGUUUACAUUUGCAGCAACUUCUGGUUUUACAUGCUUUACAUACUGUCAAUUGAUUGUCCUAUACGUUUACAAGACAUUCUUCAAGUUUGUUCAUAGGAUGAAGCCAUAAUAAAAGUUAACAGUUAUCAAAAUCUUCAUUAUUUGGAAUUUGCUAGUUUUGAAAAGGAGUAUAAUUGGUAUAUAUUACAUCUGCCUUAUUUAAAUUUCAAAGAAGAAACAUUUCAAUUGACAUAUAUACAUUUUUUGGAAGUACAAUACUUUUCAAUGUGAUGAUGAGUCUCAGAGUAUCCUGGUUUGUAAUUGGUCUUUUAGCCAUGUCUGUUUCUGUAAUGUCCAAUAUUAAAAAAGCUUGUGAAAAUCAAUAAAUACAUGA